GAAUAGCUCAGCUGGGAGAGUCCCUGUCUGCCAUGCAUGAGGCCCUGGGUUCGGUCCCCAGCACCUCA
rnacentral:tRNA from 1 species